GGGGAAUGGGCGGCGUGCUUACACAUGCAAGUCGAACGAUGAAGCCCAGCUUGCUGGGUGGAUUAGUGGCGAACGGGUGAGUAACACGUGGGUGAUCUGCCCUGCACUUCGGGAUAAGCCUGGGAAACUGGGUCUAAUACCGGAUAGGACCUCGGGAUGCAUGUUCCGGGGUGGAAAGGUUUUCCGGUGCAGGAUGGGCCCGCGGCCUAUCAGCUUGUUGGUGGGGUAACGGCCCACCAAGGCGACGACGGGUAGCCGGCCUGAGAGGGCGACCGGCCACACUGGGACUGAGACACGGCCCAGACUCCUACGGGAGGCAGCAGUGGGGAAUAUUGCACAAUGGGCGCAAGCCUGAUGCAGCGACGCCGCGUGAGGGAUGACGGCCUUCGGGUUGUAAACCUCUUUCAGUACCGACGAAGCGCAAGUGACGGUAGGUACAGAAGAAGCACCGGCCAACUACGUGCCAGCAGCCGCGGUAAUACGUAGGGUGCGAGCGUUGUCCGGAAUUACUGGGCGUAAAGAGCUCGUAGGCGGUUUGUCGCGUCGUCUGUGAAAACCCGCAGCUCAACUGCGGGCUUGCAGGCGAUACGGGCAGACUUGAGUACUGCAGGGGAGACUGGAAUUCCUGGUGUAGCGG
rnacentral:rRNA from 1 species